CAAGAAUUGUGAUGAAGUGCACCAAUAUGAGGAAGAACACAAAUCUAUGCUUGAAGGAACUAGCCACGCACAUAGAAAGCACACCGAAGAAUUUCCUAGAUGGUUUGAACGUAAAAUUUACCAACUGCACAAAGAGACCAGUCAGGUGAGUGAAGAACUAUUAUCAUUGGUCGGAGGUCCUUGCCGAGAAGCUGUCUUUCAACAUUUACACGGUCAAUGGGUACCGCUUUCAGACAAAACGUUGGGAGCAGGGAAGAACGACACAAAACGCUGGAGUAUGUGUAACCAUCGAGAAGGAUUAUUUUGGAGUGCUAACUGAUAUUAUAGAGUUGAGGUAUGUGGGUGGAUUCCGUGUUGUUCUUUUCAAAUGUGAUUGGCGGGAUGUAGAUAGUGAU